CCUACGGGAGGCAGCAGUGAGGAAUAUUGGUCAAUGGGCGAGAGCCUGAACCAGCCAAGUCGCGUGAAGGAAGAAGGUCUUAUGGAUUGUAAACUUCUUUUACAGGGGAAUAAAGAUGAGUACGCGUACUCAGUUGUAGGUACCCUGAGAAUAAGGAUCGGCUAACUCCGUGCCAGCAGCCGCGGUAAUACGGAGGAUUCGAGCGUUAUCCGGAUUUAUUGGGUUUAAAGGGUGCGCAGGCGGGUUGAUAAGUCAGUGGUGAAAGGUUUACGCUUAACGUAGACAUUGCCAUUGAAACUGUCGAUCUUGAGUACAAAUGAGGUAGGCGGAAUGUGUUGUGUAGCGGUGAAAUGCAUAGAUAUGACACAAACACCGAUUGCGAAGGCAGCUUACUGGGAUGUAACUGACGCUCAGGCACGAAAGCGUGGGGAUCAAACAGGAUUAGAUACCCUGGUAGUCCACGCAGUAAACGAUGAUUACUAGCUGUUAGCGAUAGAAGUUAGUGGCUAAGCGAAAGCGAUAAGUAAUCCACCUGGGGAGUA
rnacentral:rRNA from 1 species